GACGAACGCUGGCGGCGCGCCUAACACAUGCAAGUCGAACGAGCGAGAGAGAGCUUGCUUUCUCAAGCGAGUGGCGAACGGGUGAGUAACGCGUGAGGAACCUGCCUCAAAGAGGGGGACAACAGUUGGAAACGACUGCUAAUACCGCAUAAGCCCACAGGUCGGCAUCGACCAGAGGGAAAAGGAGCAAUCCGCUUUGAGAUGGCCUCGCGUCCGAUUAGCUAGUUGGUGAGGUAACGGCCCACCAAGGCAACGAUCGGUAGCCGGACUGAGAGGUUGAACGGCCACAUUGGGACUGAGACACGGCCCAGACUCCUACGGGAGGCAGCAGUGGGGAAUAUUGCACAAUGGGGGAAACCCUGAUGCAGCGACGCCGCGUGGAGGAAGAAGGUCUUCGGAUUGUAAACUCCUGUUGUUGAGGAAGAUAAUGACGGUACUCAACAAGGAAGAGACGGCUAACUACGUG
rnacentral:rRNA from 1 species